CUACAGGCAGGGUGGGGACAGGCGCAGGUGCCUCUCAGCCUUGAAUCCGGCUCCUGACCUCCGAAGCGUCCUGGUCUGGGGAAGGUGACAGCAUUCCACAGCAUGAGUGCUCACAGAAGAUGGGACACAUGAACUUCUAGCUAAUUUGGGUAGACAUAUUCCCAACAACCCGUGUUUCCCAGAGCUCCAGUGGCACAAUUGGUUCCUCAUAGUACCUAUAUGGCUCCUGCCAGGCCUCGGAUCCAG